UGGACAGAUUAUUGUAUUCGACUGUAUUCAGCGUGAAACAGGGGAUUACACUGUUUUUAAACGGAAAGUAAAUCAAUUAACAUAAUAGACUCCU
rfam:Nicotiana attenuata strain TT chromosome 2, whole genome shotgun sequence.